GCUCCAGCCUCUUCAUGUGCUAGGGGAACUCCCCCAGGCCCAUCUGGCCUCUCCUGUGCUGAAAGGCCACAGAGUGACAGGCCAGAAACCUGACUCAGUGUUUAUUCACCAAACACUGAGAGGGCCCUCCUGAAUCUCUUCCCCACCCAAAGCCUCCCUACUUCGGGGGCAGGAGAGGGGACGGCACUGCCAUCUCCCAUGCUCAGCAUACCUGGUAUACUUGCCCCAGGAGAUUAGCCACAAGGAAAAGCAUGCAGGCUGCCCCCGACACAAGAGAAAAUCUGGUAAAACACAAGAAAGAACCACCACUGAGCAGCAUCAGCCAAGAGAAGAAUCCCACAUCCUGUGGAUUCCGGUGACUCCAAACCCUGUCAAGAUGAAGAUCAACCAUCACUUUUACUGAGUCUCUACCAAGAGGCAGACCAGCAAACAAAUGACACAGGACUGUG
rnacentral:lncRNA from 1 species